rnacentral:misc_RNA from 1 species
UACGGAGGGUGCAAGCGUUGUUCGGAAUUACUGGGCGUAAAGCGCGUGUAGGCGGCCUGGUUAGUCGGAUGUGAAAGCCCACGGCUCAACCGUGGAAGUGCAUUCGAUACUGCCAGGCUUGAGUGCUGGAGAGGGAAGGGGAAUUCCCGGUGUAGAGGUGAAAUUCGUAGAUAUCGGGAGGAACACCGGCGGCGAAGGCGCCUUCCUGGACAGACACUGACGCUGAGACGCGAAAGCGUGGGGAGCAAACAGG